UUUUUUUAUUUUUUUGAGUUUGCAUAUCGUAUAUUAACAAGAUGAAUUAUUAAAAGGUCACUUUAAUUGUAGAAAGUUUUGAUUGUAAGAUGUAUUAUAUUAUAUUCUAAUCUAUUAUCCAGUCAUUUGCACUUAUAAUUGUACAAUGAUUAAACUAUAUAUAUAUAUAUAUAAUGGAGUUUAAUUAUAUCCAAGACUUAAAGACAAAUAUGGUAUAUAUCGGAAAAUUCAACUAUCACAA
rnacentral:lncRNA from 1 species